rnacentral:lncRNA from 1 species
ACUGUCCCUCCCAGGGCAGGACUCAAGAGCGGGAGCCACGACUCCAUGUGCCCAAACAUGGGGAUGGGCAGCCACCGGGCCCCUCUGUCUCGCGAAGUUUCUCAGGACCCUGGGCUUUGCCACGGUCUCAGUCCUUCUCAACGUCUCCCUCCCUUAAUGCGCCUUCUUUCUUUUUCCUGUCCCUUCAAGAAUUAGAGUGGUCCUUUAAUUCUUUUUGUUUCCUCUCUUUUCGAUUUCCUUCUUUUGUGUCCAUCCUUCCUGCUUUCCUUCUUCCUCUCCCUCUUUUUAAAAUUGCAUUACUGUCAUACCUGGUUUCCCUGCAGUUCUUGGGUGGAGUUCGAGGACCCUCCCUGGUGGAAGGCGUUUGUGUUCUACCAAAAGAGGAGCCCUUCUGACCGAGGCUUCAGAGCUCAGCGUGGCGCCGACGGGACCACCUUUCCCUUCUCACCUCUUUUCCUCUCCACCUUCCAGGAAACCACUAUCUAUCCAUCUAUCCAUCUAUCUUCUGUAUACGAGUAGAAGGAGGAGGAGGAGGAGGAAAAUCAGGAAUCCACGCAAAGUUUUCCAAGCUCCCUGAAGUGGUUGGGCACAUCAGUAGCUGAGAGACUCCUCUGACCAUGGCCAGCCUCAGGAAGUGAGUGUCAACAGCCUUGCAGAUGGGAACUCAACUCCUGGGUACCCAUGCCUGAAAAGACAAUUUCGCUCUUGAUGCCCAGGCUGGAGUGUAAUGGCAUGAUCUCAGCUCACUGCAACCUCCGCCUCCCAGAUUCAAGCAAUUCUUCUGCCUCAGCCUCCCAAGCUGGGAUUACAGGCAUGUGUCACCAUGCACCUCUUGCACCCGGUCUCCUUCUCAGAGUCUGAUGCCCAGGAAAUCUGAUCUGUGGCAGUGUGGGGAUUCAUCCAAGAAUGAAGACUGUUUGUAAAUUGAGAUUUGAGGGUGGAAUCAUCCACUGGCCAGCCAGCUGUGAGGACCAGCCGCUGGUGGUUGGGGGUGCACAAAUGGCCUCAGGCCCGCUGUACUGCUGCAACUAUUAAAACUCCACCAUGGUGUACAUGGAAGGAUGGCUGGUAGAAUAGGACUUACUGGCAAGUAGUGUAUCAGGCAUUUGAGAGAUACAGGGCAAUAGUCAUUAUAAAGACAAUAGAACUAGAUAGUUGUUGUUAGGAAAUAAUCUAUUCUUUGGGGCAAGACCGUAAAAGGCUGAGGGUAAUUAAUCACCUCUUACAGGCUAAGUCAGAAUUCCAGAGGACAUCCUCAGAAGCAUAAAAAGAUACCCUCAUCUCCUAUCAUUGGAGUGCAGAAAAACCUGAGGAAUGAAUUUAGGAUUUAAUUAUGGAAGCACAGAGUUUCAGAGAAGGUUGAGUUCUGAGUUCCACAGACCAGCUCUGCCAAGGUCAGAGCCCUAAUUAUGAAGGAAUGGAACUGCAAUACAUGGGAUGUGGACAACUGAUGUAGGAUUUUUUCUUCUUGGUCACUUUGCAAGCCUGGGACCUCCAGCCAGUGAUGUCCGCCCAGGGCUUGCUUGGCUAUGCUGGUGUGCCUCAGCUUGUCUGUGUUAUAGCUUGUACCCACAUUUGGUGAUUCUCAAGCUCUUGUACCACACCCAAGAAGAUUGAGGAUAUGCUGCACAUUGAAGGGUGAGGAGGGCAGAGAAGAAUUUUACUGAGCGACCGAACAGCUCUCAGUGGAGAGGGGACACAGGGGAUGGUCCCUCACCCCCACAGUCAGGUGGUUCUCUCCUCCUUGCGUAGGUGGGUCUGGGGAUUUUUAUGGACUCAGAAUGGGGAGGGGCAGGCCAUAGGUAGUAUUGGAAAAGGCAACACUCAAUUGGUUAAAAAGUAUUAUUCAGAAAGAAUCAAUAGGGAAAGGGUGAGCAAACAGGAACAGAAGUUCUCAUUCUGGGUCACCGGUUUCAUCUGGGACCAGCAAUCUAGUUUUUCAGCCUUCAAGCUGUUUUUGACUUGAAGGUGGGGUUUCACCAGGGACCCACCCCUAUCUGCCUCAGCAUUUGGCUGACUCCUAUCGCUAUCAAAACUGUGUUAAUGUAUUAGAAACUCUUGAAUCCCCAGAUUCUCCUGUAUCCUCUGGGUCUGCAGAAGCAACCCACUCCUUCCUGUUAAAAGAUGGUACUCUGAUGUGCACCACCACCCCCAAGGAACACCCCUUGGUUUAAGCCAAUGCAAAGUCCUUUGCCUUGCGAGACAGCAUGCACACUCCUCAAGGAUAUGUUCUCAACUCCCCUCCUGACCAAUAAUCAGAAAUAUGUCACAACGUAACCCAACUGUGCUGGGCCUGCUAAGAGAGGAAAGGGAUUACAGCCAGCAGGAGCCACCGGACAUAUAUGCAUAUGCAUACAUUCCAAUAUGCGCUGGCAGGAGCUGGGAGAAUACAUAAAUGACUAGAUUCUAAGGGUACUGGAUCAAGGGGCAUGGGACAUAAAGUUGGUUAGGGGACAGUUUAUCAAUAUGGCAGCACUCUUCUGCAAUACAGAUUUAAUACCCUAUUUAAGGAGGUGAAGCUAACAUAUUUCUAGGAUGGCCCUUAGAAGCUUGGACAAAGUGAAGUAGAAGUGCCAGAAUUGCUGUGGCAGAUGGUGGAAGAGGGAUAGAAACCUUGAGCAGUAGGCCUACUACAGUGGAUAUAAUUAGCAAAACUGGGAAACUCACUCUAUGACUAUGUUUGGUGGGAAGCCCUGGAGGACACACUGUUGAUAAAAUCAAUAAGAAAUGCACUGACAAGAAGGCACCAGAAUCUCUGAGAAGCUUAGUGGUUGGUGAUAGUCUUCUGCAAGGUGGGAGAUCCUGUUGCAGAACUGGGCUCUCUGAUAGUAGAAGGAAAUGACAGAAUUCCAAAAUAAUAGAGUCAGGUGACACUUAAAUACCAGAAGAAAAGUGGGUGCAAUUAUUGUCAUGAAAAGCAAAGCUGAAGUGGAAGCCCAGGAGGCCUGACCUGAGAGCUAUUGAAGCAGCAACUAGAACGUGAUGUCCCUGGAGGGGCCUGGAGGAGGUCACACCCACGAGCCAGAGCUGACGUUCUUUUUUAGAGACAAAACUUUGCCUCCUUAACCAAUUGCAAAUGAGAAAAUCUUUGAGUCUGCCACCAACCUAUGGGCUCCUGCUUUGAGAUAGCCCACUUUUUUAGGUCAAACCAAUGUAUAGCCUCCGUGUUUUG